GACGAACGCUGGCGGCGUGCUUAACACAUGCAAGUCGAACGGAAAGGCCCUGCUUUUGUGGGGUGCUCGAGUGGCGAACGGGUGAGUAACACGUGAGUAACCUGCCCUUGACUUUGGGAUAACUUCAGGAAACUGGGGCUAAUACCGGAUAGGAGCUCCUGCUGCAUGGUGGGGGUUGGAAAGUUUCGGCGGUUGGGGAUGGACUCGCGGGUUAUCAGCUUGUUUGGGGGGUAGUGGCGUACCAAGGCUUUGACGGGUAGGCCGCAUGAGAGGGUGACCGGCCACAUUGCGACUGCGGGACGGCCCAGUAGCCUACGGGAGGCAGCAGUGGGGAAUAUUGCACAAUGGGCGGAAGCCUGAUGCAGCAACGCCGCGUGCGGGAUGACGGCCUUCGAGUUGUAAACAGCUUUCGACUGUGACGAAGAGUGAGUGACGGUAAUGGGUAAAGAAGCAACGGCUAACUACGUG
rnacentral:rRNA from 1 species